rnacentral:tRNA from 1 species
UGCAUCGGCCGGGAAUCGAACCCAGGCGCCCGCAUGGCAGGCGAGCAUUCUACCACUGAACCACCGAUGC